AUUGAACGCUGGCGGAAUGCUUUACACAUGCAAGUCGAACGGCAGCACGGACUUCGGUCUGGUGGCGAGUGGCGAACGGGUGAGUAAUACAUCGGAACGUGCCCAGUCGUGGGGGAUAACGUAGCGAAAGUUACGCUAAUACCGCAUACGAUCGAUGGAUGAAAGCGGGGGAUCGCAAGACCUCGCGCGAUUGGAGCGGCCGAUGUCAGAUUAGGUAGUUGGUGGGGUAAAGGCCUACCAAGCCGACGAUCUGUAGCUGGUCUGAGAGGACGACCAGCCACACUGGGACUGAGACACGGCCCAGACUCCUACGGGGGGCAGCAGUGGGGAAUUUUGGACAAUGGGCGCAAGCCUGAUCCAGCCAUUCCGCGUGCAGGAUGAAGGCCUUCGGGUUGUAAACUGCUUUUGUACGGAACGAAAAGGCUCUGGUUAAUACCUGGGGCUCAUGACGGUACCGUAAGAAUAAGCACCGGCUAACUACGUGCCAGCAGCCGCGGUAA
rnacentral:rRNA from 1 species